rnacentral:rRNA from 1 species
GGUGAACGCUGGCGGCAGGCCUAAUACAUGCAAGUCGAGCGGACGGACGAUAAGCGUUCGCCCCUGCGGUUAGCGACGGACGGGUGAGUAACACAUGCAUAGCCAACCACUAUUACUGGGGGGACUUCGGGGGACCGGUGAUGAUAAUAGAGCAUAUGAUGUACGGCAUGAAUCAAAAGUGAAAGACAGUCUUGCUGUCACAUUUAGAUGGAUCCGCGUUGGAUUAGCUAGUUGGUAAGGUAACGGCCUACCAAGGCAACGAUGCAUAGCUGAUCUGAGAGGGUGAUCAGCCACACUGGAACUGAGACACGGUCCAGACUCCUACGGGAGGCAGCAGUGGGGAAUCUUCGGCAAUGGGCGAAAGCCUGACGCAGCAACGCCGCGUGAGUGAUGAAGGUCUUCGGGUUGUAAAGCUCUGUUAUUAGGAAAGAACAGAUGUGUGAGUAACUGUGGACGUCUUGACGGUACCUAAAGAGAAAGCCACGGCUAACUACGUG